rnacentral:rRNA from 1 species
UACGAAGGGGGCUAGCGUUGUUCGGAAUUACUGGGCGUAAAGCGCACGUAGGCGGAUAUUUAAGUCAGGGGUGAAAUCCCAGAGCUCAACUCUGGAACUGCCUUUGAUACUGGGUAUCUUGAGUAUGGAAGAAGUAAGUGGAAUUGCGAGUGUAGAGGUGAAAUUCGUAGAUAUUCGCAGGAACACCAGUGGCGAAGGCGCUUUCUGGACAGUAACUGACGCUGAGGCGCGAAAGCGUGGGGAGCAAACAGG